CUCUUAUCACAAUGCCUUGCCAGAACAUGACACAGAAUCUGUCAAAUUUCAUUUCUUAGUACCUCAAAUCCCUAUAGAUACUUUGGAGGCUCUGAGCUCUUGUUACUCCAUUAUGUGUGGCUCAAUUGGGAAAGUCAUUUCACAGCCUUGGGACUCAACAAAAGUGGUUUUGGCAGACUGAAAGGAGGUGACUGGCUGAGAGCCCCAGAUGUCCUUGUUGUGAGCCCGAGCAUCUCCUCCUCCUCACGGCCCUGCUACCUUCACGUGCAACACUUCUGCUGCUCUAAAGAUACCAAAAGGUUUUAAUUACGAUUAAGCCAAGUCAUUUCUACACUUUCGAGCUG
rnacentral:lncRNA from 1 species